rnacentral:misc_RNA from 2 species
UCAACCAUCAAGCCUAGCUUGUCGUUGGACUUUGUAACUGAAAUAUGUGGCAGGUCUGAAAGAUAAUGACGGUGUCGUGUUUGACCCUAGAUGCAACGAGCUUUUAAUAGCACGCAUUGAAGUGGUCGGUCGACCCGGUCUUAACCAUCAUUUUCUAA